GAGUCUAGCGUGUGCGCGAGUCACUGGGUGCAAAACCUAAAGGCGAAAUAAAAGUGUCAGGGGCCGCACAGCGGUCCCGGCGGGAAGAUGGGCCCUCGUCCCCCAGCGGCGGGGCCCCGCACUCCCGGGGCGUCUCAUUCUCUAAACGAGUCGAGACGCACCAGGAGCGCACACGCUGGUACCCGAAAGAUGGUGAACUAUGCCUGGCCAGGACGAAGCCAGGGGAAACCCUGGUGGAGGUCCGAAGCGAUUCUGACGUGCAAAUCGAUCGUCUGAGCUGGGUAUAGGGGCGAAAGACCAAUCGA
rnacentral:rRNA from 1 species